rnacentral:rRNA from 1 species
ACGCUGGCGGCAGGCCUAACACAUGCAAGUCGAGCGGAAACGACAUUAACAAUCCUUCGGGUGCGUUAAUGGGCGUCGAGCGGCGGACGGGUGAGUAAUGCCUAGGAAAUUGCCUUGAUGUGGGGGAUAACCAUUGGAAACGAUGGCUAAUACCGCAUAAUGCCUACGGGCCAAAGAGGGGGACCUUCGGGCCUCUCGCGUCAAGAUAUGCCUAGGUGGGAUUAGCUAGUUGGUGAGGUAAUGGCUCACCAAGGCGACGAUCCCUAGCUGGUCUGAGAGGAUGAUCAGCCACACUGGAACUGAGACACGGUCCAGACUCCUACGGGAGGCAGCAGUGGGGAAUAUUGCACAAUGGGCGAAAGCCUGAUGCAGCCAUGCCGCGUGUAUGAAGAAGGCCUUCGGGUUGUAAAGUACUUUCAGUUGUGAGGAAGGGUGUGUAGUUAAUAGCUGCRYAUCUUGACGUUAGCAACAGAAGAAGCACCGGCUAACUCCGUGCCAGCAGCCGCGGUAAUACGGAGGGUGCGAGCGUUAAUCGGAAUUACUGGGCGUAAAGCGCAUGCAGGUGGUUCAUUAAGUCAGAUGUGAAAGCCCGGGGCUCAACCUCGGAACUGCAUUUGAAACUGGUGAACUAGAGUGCUGUAGAGGGGGGUAGAAUUUCAGGUGUAGCGGUGAAAUGCGUAGAGAUCUGAAGGAAUACCAGUGGCGAAGGCGGCCCCCUGGACA